GGGUGAGUGAUGGCACACUUCAGCUGGCUAAUAUCAUAAUUAACAAAGUUGUUUCUACACUGGUAAAGUUUAAUCGGAAAAUUUACCAGGGAUAUGAUGGCAUUGUCAUGAAGAUCACAAGGGACACAGGGACACGGAGUCGACUUUUGCUCAAGGCUGAACGGCAAGAUGAGAAACUGCAAACUUGGAAGGCAAA
rnacentral:lncRNA from 1 species